rnacentral:rRNA from 1 species
GUCUAUGGCCAUAACACUCAGAAUGUGCCCAAUCUUGCCUGAGCUCAGAAGCUAAGCAGGGUCGCACCUAGUUACUACUUGGAUGGGAGAAAAGAAAAGUAAGUAGCAAGUCU